rnacentral:rRNA from 1 species
UCCUUGAUUGGUGGUAGAAGCGCUUCCGCAUUCAACACAUGCAUAUGCCCCUGUCCGUGGAGGUUACUGUGAACAAAACAGCGUGUCCAAAGCAACCACAUGUCUGGCUGAAUGAUCUAGCAUGGAAUAACAAGGCAUCGACCACUGGAGUCAGCCUUUUUGUUGGUUUUACAUGACCCAGUUGGGCAAUGCAGGGCUUGUGCUUCAUUGAGGUUCUUAGUCAGCUCUACCGAACUGUCUUCCCUCAGUUGGACCUUGUUCCCUAUCGGGAUCAAUGGAAGCCAUCGGGGUGGUAUGUAUUCCGACGUGAGCGGUGAAAUGCUUAGACCGUGGAAGACAAACGACAGCGAAGGCAUUCCGCCAGAAUGUCUUCAUUAAUCAAGAACGAGAGUGUGGGGAUCGAAGAUGAUCAGAUACCAUCGUAGUCCAUUACCGUAAACUAUGCCAACUCGGCAUUGGGAGUCUGUUCACUUUGAAGACUCUCCCAGCAUCAUCCCCCAAUAACGAGAAAUCCAAGUCUAUGGGUUCAGGGGGGAGUACAGUCGCAAGGCUGAAACUUAAAGGAAUUGACGGAAUGACACCACAAGGCGUGGAGUAUGCGGCUUAAUUUGACUCAACACGGGGAAGCUUACCAGGUCAGACACAGUAAGGAUUGACAGAUUGAGAGCUCUUUCUUGAUCCUAUGGAUGGUGGUGCAUGGCCGUUUCUGGUUCGUGGAGUGAUCUGUCUGCUUAAUUGCGAUAACGAACGAGAUCUCUACCUCUAAAUAGGCGCCGGUCUCGCAUGUAAGUAGGGAUGUGUUGGGGGCCUUCGUGUCCCCUCAUGUCCUGAGAGUGCCGGGAUCGCUUCUUAGACGGACUGUGCAUGUCUUUAAUGCACGGAAGAGGGAGUCAAUAGCAGGUCUGUGAUGCUCCUAGAUGUUCUGGGCUGCACGCGCACUACACUGGCACAGUAAACGAGUUGCACCUGCUUCGGCAGUCCUGCUUAGAAGUGAGCGUGGGAAAUCUUAGAAAACUGUGCCGUGCUGGGGAUAGAUGAUUGCGAUUAUUUGUCUUGAACGAGGAAUGCCUAGUAGAGGUACUUCAUCAGAGUACCUUGAUUGUGUCCCUGCCAUUUGUACACACCGCCCGUCGUUGCUACCGAUUGGCUGUAAAAUAGAGGCCUUAAGAGUCGCUUCCGCAAAGCUUUGCUUUUGAGGUUGUGACAAAUCUGGCCAAUAUUUCAUUGCUAGAGGAAGCAAAAGUCGUAACAAGG